rnacentral:lncRNA from 1 species
UCCUGGCAGGAUGCAGAGCCCAGCACAGAAUGGGAAGAGCUUUUCCCCACCUGGAGGUGAGAAACUUGGCAGGACACAGCCCAGGAGGAGAAGGCCUCAAGCAAAGGCCCAGAGAGAAGAGGAGCCAUGGGAAAGCACUGCUCAGGAGGAGCUGUAAUCAGCCAGUACCUAUACAAGCACUGGAGUGGGCUGAGUAGCAUCCACCCCCCACCA